AAAAAGAUUCAACCAAAUCAUGAUACAAAAGAAAUUAUAUUUACAAUUUCUACACCACAAAAGCUCUUCACAAUAACUUCCUAAGUCAACUUGCUUGUUUCUCGACCACCAACUCCUGUAAGGAAAACAAACUAAACGGUUGAGUUAAAACUCAGUGAGGUUCAAAAGUAUAAGGCAUUGCCAGUGCAAAACUUCACAAAAUUUAUAACCAAUCAACGAGGCUAUUAAAUAAGUUAAACAAUCAUUAAAAGGAUACACUUCACCACCUUGCUCCUCCAUUGUCUCCUUAUAACCACCAAAACAAUAAACAAUUCCUGACAAUCCAAAACAAUUCAUUAUUGUCCAAACUCCCAGGUGAUACUCGAAUAUACCUUUCAGUAGCUCAUGUUAGUGAAACUAGUCGACCGAGUCCUUCACUAGCUCGAUUAGAUCAACUAUCCAAGGCAUAGGGCCCAAUUCAACUGGUGUAAUAAGGUUCACAGCGGUCUACAGUCAUUCAUGCACAAUCAAUUAACACUCAUUUCAAUACAAUAAGGCGGUAGCGAUUAGGUACGCUCCGACCUUUGCAAGUAAAUUUC
rnacentral:lncRNA from 1 species